GCAAAACGCGAAGAACCUUACCAGGUCUUGACAUCCCACUGACCGGCCUAGAGAUAGGUCUUUCCCUUCGGGGACAGUGGUGACAGGUGGUGCAUGGUUGUCGUCAGCUCGUGUCGUGAGAUGUUGGGUUAAGUCCCGCAACGAGCGCAACCCUUGAUCUUAGUUGCCAGCAUUCAGUUGGGCACUCUAAGGUGACUGCCGGUGACAAACCGGAGGAAGGUGGGGAUGACGUCAAAUCAUCAUGCCCCUUAUGACCUGGGCUACACACGUGCUACAAUGGACGAUACAAAGGGCUGCAAACCCGCGAGGGGGAGCCAAUCCCAUAAAAUCGUUCUCAGUUCGGAUUGUAGGCUGCAACUCGCCUACAUGAAGCCGGAAUCGCUAGUAAUCGCGGAUCAGCAUGCCGCGGUGAAUACG
rnacentral:rRNA from 1 species